rnacentral:rRNA from 1 species
GAUGAACGCUGGCGGCGUGCCUAAUACAUGCAAGUCGAGCGAACGGACGAUAAUCUUGCUUCUCUGAUUUUAGCGGCUGACGUGUGAGUAACACGUGGAUAACCUACCUAUAAUACUUGUAUAACUUCGGGAAACCGUAUCUAAUACCGGAUAAUAUUUUGAACCUCAUGGUUCAAUAGUUAAAUACGGUCUUUCUGUCUCUUAUAGAUGUAUCCGCGCUGCAUUAGCUAGUUGGUAAGGUAACGGCUUACCAAGGCAACUAUGCAUAGCCGACGUGAGAGGGUGAUCGGAGAAACUGGAAGUGAGACACGGAACAGAGGACUACGGGAGGAAGCAGAAGGGAAUAGUAGGCAAUGGGCGAAAGGAUGACGGAGAAAAGGAGCGUGAGAGAUGAAGGAGUGCGGAGCGUAAAAAUAGGUUAUGAGGGAAGAAAAAAAGUGUAAGAAAAUGAGAAGAGAGUGACGGUAACUAAUCAGAAAGCAACGGCUAACUACGUG